rnacentral:rRNA from 1 species
UUUGUAGAAUGAACCGGCGAGUUACGAUUUGAUGCAAGGUUAAGCAGUAAAUGUGGAGCCGUAGCGAAAGCGAGUCUGAAUAGGGCGUUUAGUAUUUGGUCGUAGACCCGAAACCAGGUGAUCUACCCUUGGUCAGGUUGAAGUUCAGGUAACACUGAAUGGAGGACCGAACCGACUUACGUUGAAAAGUGAGCGGAUGAACUGAGGGUAGCGGAGAAAUUCCAAUCGAACCUGGAGAUAGCUGGUUCUCUCCGAAAUAGCUUUAGGGCUAGCCUCAAGUGAUGAUUAUUGGAGGUAGA